rnacentral:rRNA from 1 species
CAUCUAAGUACCCCGAGGAAAAGAAAUCAACCGAGAUUCCCCCAGUAGCGGCGAGCGAACGGGGAGGAGCCCAGAGCCUGAAUCAGUGUGUGUGUUAGUGGAAGCGUCUGGAAAGGCGCGCGAUACAGGGUGACAGCCCCGUACACAAAAAUGCACAUAUUGUGAGCUCGAUGAGUAGGGCGGGACACGUGGUAUCCUGUCUGAAUAUGGGGGGACCAUCCUCCAAGGCUAAAUACUCCUGACUGACCGAUAGUGAACCAGUACCGUGAGGGAAAGGCGAAAAGAACCCCGGCGAGGGGAGUGAAAAAGAACCUGAAACCGUGUACGUACAAGCAGUGGGAGCCUCUUAAUGGGGUGACUGCGUACCUUUUGUAUAAUGGGUCAGCGACUUAUAUUCUGUAGCAAGGUUAACCGAAUAGGGGAGCCGAAGGGAAACCGAGUCUUAACUGGGCGUUAAGUUGCAGGGUAUAGACCCGAAACCCGGUGAUCUAGCCAUGGGCAGGUUGAAGGUUGGGUAACACUAACUGGAGGACCGAACCGACUAAUGUUGAAAAAUUAGCGGAUGACUUGUGGCUGGGGGUGAAAGGCCAAUCAAACCGGGAGAUAGCUGGUUCUCCCCGA